AUACGGAGGGUGCAAGCGUUAAUCGGAAUUACUGGGCGUAAAGCGUACGUAGGCGGUUCGUUAAGUCAGAAGUGAAAGCCCUGGGCUCAACCUGGGAACGGCUUUUGAGACUGGCAGACUCGAGUUGAGUAGAGGGGAGUUGAAUUUCCGGUGUAGCGGUGAAAUGCGUAGAGAUCGGAAGGAACACCAGUGGCGAAGGCGACUCCCUGGACUCAAACUGACGCUGAGGUACGAAAGCGUGGGUAGCAAACAGGAUUAGAAACCCUAGUAGUCC
rnacentral:rRNA from 1 species